rnacentral:rRNA from 1 species
UACAGAGGGGGCAAGCGUUGUUCGGAAUUACUGGGCGUAAAGGGCGCGUAGGCGGCCUUCUAAGUCGAACGUGAAAUCCCCGAGCUCAACUCGGGAACUGCGUCCGAUACUGACAGGCUUGAAUCCGGGAGAGGGAUGCGGAAUUCCAGGUGUAGCGGUGAAAUGCGUAGAUAUCUGGAGGAACACCGGUGGCGAAGGCGGCAUCCUGGACCGGCAUUGACGCUGAGGCGCGAAAGCUAGGGGAGCAAACGGGG